GAUGAACGCUAGCGGCAGGCCCAGUACAUGCAAGUCGAACGGUGUCUUCGGACAUAGUGGCGCACGGGUGCGUAACACGUAUGCAACCUACCUUACAUUGGGGGAUAGCCUUUCGAAAGGGAGAUUAAUACCGCAUAAGACAGUAGCUGGGCAUCCAGCAGCUGUUAAAGAUUUAUCGAUGUAAGCUGGGCAUGCGUCCAAUUAGCUAGUUGGUGAGGUAACGGCUCACCAAGGCAAUGAUUGGUAGGGGAACUGAGAGGUCAAUCCCCCGCACUGGCACUGGGAUACGGGCCAGACUCCUACGGGAGGCAGCAGUAGGGAAUAUUGGGCAAUGGACGCAAGUCUGACCCAGCCAUGCCGCGUGCAGGAUGAAGGCGUUAUGCGUUGUAAACUGCUUUUAUACAGGAAGAAACGACUCUUGCGAGAGGCAUUGACGGUACUGUAUGAAUAAGCACCGGCUAACUUCGUGCCAGCCGCCGCGGUAAAAC
rnacentral:rRNA from 1 species